rnacentral:rRNA from 1 species
UACGUAGGGGGCAAGCGUUGUCCGGAAUCAUUGGGCGUAAAGAGCGUGUAGGCGGCCCGGUAAGUCCGCUGUGAAAGUCAAAGGCUCAACCUUUGAAUGUCAGCGGAUACUGCCGGGCUAGAGUCCGGAAGAGGCGAGUGGAAUUCCUGGUGUAGCGGUGGAAUGCGCAGAUAUCAGGAGGAACACCAACGGCGAAGGCAGCUCGCUGGGACGGUACUGACGCUGAGGCGCGAAAGCGUGGGGAGCGAACAGG